rnacentral:rRNA from 1 species
GGCUCACAUGAAGUUUCGUGCCGUUCCGACCUCGUUUGAUACGGUUAUGGUUAACCACACGGCCCCUCGGGCCCGACCCGAGCCCAGUCAACGUUUUGACCCGAUCAAAUCGGCCCGUGACCCGAAACGACCCUACUUGGGCCCUACAACAGCCACGUAAAGUUUCGGGAUGAUCCGACGUUCUUUCAUGGGGUUACGGACAAUCCACGCCAAACAAGCGUCACGGGCCGACCGAGCCGGGCCAACGGGCCCUCGGGACCCGAAAACUGAUUUUUUUUUCAUCCAAACCCAUUAAAACACGUUACCGAGGUCUCACGCAAAAUUUCAUGCCAAUCCGACGUCGUUUGAUGGGGUUUUGAAAAAUUAUGAUUCCUCAAAAAUUUAAUGUCUGUUCCUGUCACUUAGCUUUUUGUGCAAAAUGUAUAUAUAGGGGAGGGGUGGGUGUUGAGCAGCCCAUGCCCGGGCAAGGCAUGCCAGCGCCCAAGCCAAAGGACGCUGGUGGCGUGCGUAUAACAGCUCAAAUGCCCCAACGAUGACCGAGAACAAGCGCCCAUCUCCCCUCAUUCCCCCCCACCAAGCGCCCCUCCCCCCCCCCCAUGUUGCCUGCCCACUCGCACAGCUACUCGUGAUUUCAUGCCCAGCGACUAGUGAAUGUGCCUCGACGACCAGCAAACCUCGAAAAUUAUGAUUCCUCGUAAAAUUAAUGUCUGUUCCUGUCACUUUACUUUUUGUGCAAAAUGUAUAUAUAGGGGAGACCAGGGGCUUGAGCAACCCCUGUGCCCAAGCAAGGGUCAGAUGGAAGCACACGAGACGCGAGGUUUAAAGCCUAUACAAGCAAGGCGUCUGUCUCCCCAAGCCCCAUUGCCUAUAAAACAAGCCCGAUGCCUUGUAAAUGCCCCACACGAUGCCUAUAAACGACAACGAUGUUUGCUAGUUAAUCGAUCGACGCCCCACACCUUGCAGCAUGUUGCCUAGUAAACAAGCCAUGCUGCCUUGGAAGCGCCCCACAUCAUGGCAUGUUGCCUAGCACGCUGCCCUUGUUUCCCGCACGGCGACCUGAAAGCGUGGCCUGACGACGUGCUUGCCUUCGAAAAUUAUGAUUCCUCAAAAAAUUAAUGUCUGUUCCUGUCACUUUACUUUUUGU